rnacentral:lncRNA from 1 species
CUGGGGCCAUGUGCCUGGAGGAAGCAGUCACAGAGGUGGUGAGCUGCUCUGUCAUCUCAGGCCCUCAAGAUGAUAUGGUAGCACCUUUCAGGUUUUCUUUUUGUUAUCCUGGGGCUGUGGGUCUGGGAGGUAGAGGGCUCCUCUGUCAUCUCAAGCCCUCAAGAUGAAUUAUCAUGUUAGUAUUGACUGUGGUCACCUCGUUUCUCACUGUGAAGUUACUGUUCUCUGCAUGUCCACAUUGCUUGUGUUUUUUGGAGGAAGUCACUUUAAGGAGCAGGGAGUUAACUCCAACUCCUCAAUGGCCAUGACUGCCUUAGUUAUCUGGAAUUCUUCUGCAUAAGAGGUUUCUAGCCAACCCCAUUUUUUUGUCCCAUCAGUCAUUUAUUUGCACCAGUGUGUCAUAUGCAUAGUUACCUUGAACUGUUUUUUGUUAUCCUUUUUUAUAGUCAUAUGUUGCUCAAUUCAUUCCUGCUUUAACAAUUGGGAGUUCUUUCCUUUGGAGGAUGGUCAUGAGAAAGAUCAAGCAGUGACUAAAAGCUUGGAACUUUCAGUCCCUCACCCCAUUCUGUGGUGAAAGAAGCUGGAGAUUGAGUUAAUAAUCCAUCAUGACUACAUGAUUAAGUCUCCACAGAAGUCUCUAAAAUAAGUAGUUCAGGGGGUUUCUGAAUUGCUGAAAAAAUCCAUGUGUAGGGAAGGUGGUGCUUCCUACCUCCAUGUGGACAGAGGUUCCUGUAUGGGGCACAUCCUGCACAUCUCAUCUGACUGUAAUUUUGUCUUUCUUAGAAUGUCAUAAAAGGUGGGCUAUUCAGUAUGUUGCCUCUUCAGCCUCAUUUAUUUUACUUAGCAGCAUUACCAGGUAGGAUAAAUUUGUGUUUCUGUGUAGGUUGGUAGUUCAUUUCUUUCUGUUCUGUGUUGAUUGUGCAUUCAGCUAUGUAAGGACAUUCUGACUUAUGAUUUGAUCAGCAUCAUUAAAGUUUCUGUGUAUAAUUACAUUCUGGUUUUCUUUGGACAUCUUUUUCAUGCACUUGUCGAAAUGCAAAUAAUUUAUAGGUACAAUGUUUGGUCAUAGAUUAGACUUAUUUCACUUUAGAAAGAAUUGGCACACUGUCUUCCUACAGUGGUUGUGCCUUAUGUUCUCCCAGCAAUGCAUGAGGGUGUGGGGGUCUAGGCAAGCGCUCUACUACUGAGCCCUACCACUGAGGCCCCCUGAAAAAUUAAAUUUUAUACUCUGUGAAAGACAGAACAAAAAGACAAGCUAUAGAUGGGGACAAAUUACUUACAAUAUGCAAUUCUGAAAAGGAUUUUAAUUCUAUUUCUAAUUAAAAUUUGCAAUUCUGAAAAGGAUUUUAAUUCUAUUUCUAAUUAAAAUUUGCAAUUCUGAAAAGGAUUUUAAUUCUAUUUCCCAGGAAUGCCAGGAGGGGAUGGGCAUGCACCUCUGAGCUGCAGUGUCCUGUGCUGAGUCCCAGCAGCUAUCAGAGGGCGUGCCACCUUCCCAGACCCAGUGGUAACCUGCUGUUGAUAUGUUAAUGUGAUAGUGCUAACGUGUUAUUUAUAUGCAAC